GAGGGAGGAAGGCUCUUGGGUUGUAAACCUCUUUUCUCAGGGAAGAACACAAUGACGGUACCUGAGGAAUCAGCAUCGGCUAACUCCGUGCCAGCAGCCGCGGUAAGACGGAGGAUGCAAGCGUUAUCCGGAUUUAUUGGGCGUAAAGCGUCCGCAGGUGGUUAUUCAAGUCUGCUGUCAAAGCGCGAGGCUUACCUUCGUAAAGGCAGUGGAAACUGAAUGACUUGAGAAUGAUAGGGGCAGAGGGAAUUCCCAGUGUAGCGGUGAAAUGCGUAGAGAUUGGGAAGAACACCGGUGGCGAAAGCGCU
rnacentral:rRNA from 1 species